AAAUGGGAUGAGAACCGGAAA
rnacentral:miRNA from 1 species